CUGCCGCAGCUUACCAUGCAGUCGAACGGAAUCUUUAGGGAUUUAGUGGCGGACGGGUGAGUAACGCGUGAGAAUCUGGCUUCAGGUCUGGGACAACCACUGGAAACGGUGGCUAAUACCGGAUGUGCCGAGAGGUGAAAGGCUUGCUGCCUGAAGAUGAGCUUGCGUCUGAUUAGCUAGUUGGUGGGGUAAGAGCCUACCAAGGCGACGAUCAGUAGCUGGUCUGAGAGGAUGAUCAGCCACACUGGGACUGAGACACGGCCCAGACUCCUACGGGAGGCAGCAGUGGGGAAUUUUCCGCAAUGGGCGAAAGCCUGACGGAGCAAUACCGCGUGAGGGAGGAAGGCUCUUGGGUUGUAAACCUCUUUUCUCAGGGAAGAAAAAAAUGACGGUACCUGAGGAAUAAGCAUCGGCUAACUCCGUGCCAGCAGCCGCGGUAAUACGGAGGAUGCAAGCGUUAUCCGGAAUGAUUGGGCGUAAAGGGUCCGCAGGUGGCUGUGUAAGUCUGCUGUUAAAUAGUCAUGCUCAACAUGAUAAAGGCAGUGGAAACUACAUAGCUAGAGUGCGUUCGGGGCAGAGGGAAUUCCUGGUGUAGCGGUGAAAUGCGUAGAAAA
rnacentral:rRNA from 1 species